rnacentral:Y_RNA from 1 species
GGCUGGUCCAAAGGCAGUGAGUAAUCUCAAUUGUUCACAGUGAGUUACAGAUCAAACUCCUUGUUCUACUCUUUCCCCUCUUCUCACUAUGGCACUUGACUAGUCUUUA